GGGAGAUGGAGUUUGUUGCUUGUGCUGAGAAGGUGGAGUCAGUGCUGUGAGGAGCUGCUCAUGAGAAACCACUGAGAAGCCACUCAACCUUUGGGAGGUGGAAACUCGUGAUUUCCUACAGCUAUUUCUCUGAAUAAAGCCACUCCACUUUCAACUGUUUCGUGCUUGUUUUGCAGGAGUAUGCAGGUUUUGCACAGCUUUAGAUGACAAUAGCAGAGAAUUUUGAAAAAGAGUUAUACUGAGUUGAACUCUACAGAGAUUUGCUACUUCCCUGGCAGUAAUACUGAAAUAUUGAAAAGCUGGAGUUAAUGGGAAAGACUGUGGGAUGAAGAAGGCAACUAAAGAUGCAAACAUUCAACAGUUUUGGGGAGCCUGAGCUUUAAUAAGCUCAUCCUGCUAGCUUUUAGUAUCACUGAAAAGGGAAGGACUUCUGCCUCUGUUUCUAUGUAAGAGCUUGAUGUACCAUACCUCUGAAAUGUCUCUUCCUUACAAAAUA